GGUUAAGCGACUAAGCGUACACGGUGGAUGCCCUGGCAGUCAGAGGCGAUGAAGGACGUGCUAAUCUGCGAUAAGCGUCGGUAAGGUGAUAUGAACCGUUAUAACCGGCGAUUUCCGAAUGGGGAAACCCAGUGUGAUUCGUCACACUAUCAUUAACUGAAUCCAUAGGUUAAUGAGGCGAACCGGGGAACUGAAACAUCUAAGUACCCCGAGGAAAAGAAAUCAACCGAGAUUCCCCCAGUAGCGGCGAGCGAACGGGGAAGAGCCCAGAGCCUGAAUCAGUGUGUGUGUUAGUGGAAGCGUCUGGAAAGGCGCGCGAUACAGGGUGACAGCCCCGUACACAAAAAUGCACAUGUUGUGAGCUCGAUGAGUAGGGCGGGACACGUGGUAUCCUGUCUGAAUAUGGGGGACCAUCCUCCAAGGCUAAAUACUCCUGACUGACCGAUAGUGAACCAGUACCGUGAGGGAAAGGCGAAAAGAACCCCGGCGAGGGGAGUGAAAAAGAACCUGAAACCGUGUACGUACAAGCAGUGGGAGCCUCUUUUAUGGGGUGACUGCGUACCUUUUGUAUAAUGGGUCAGCGACUUAUAUUCUGUAGCAAGGUUAACCGAAUAGGGGAGCCGAAGGGAAACCGAGUCUUAACUGGGCGUUAAGUUGCAGGGUAUAGACCCGAAACCCGGUGAUCUAGCCAUGGGCAGGUUGAAGGUUGGGUAACACUAACUGGAGGACCGAACCGACUAAUGUUGAAAAAUUAGCGGAUGACUUGUGGCUGGGGGUGAAAGGCCAAUCAAACCGGGAGAUAGCUGGUUCUCCCCGAAAGCUAUUUAGGUAGCGCCUCGUGAACUCAUCUCCGGGGUAGAGCACUGUUUCGGCAAGGGGGUCAUCCCGACUUACCAACCCGAUGCAAACUGCGAAUACCGGAGAAUGUUAUCACGGGAGACACACGGCGGGUGCUAACGUCCGUCGUGAAGAGGGAAACAACCCAGACCGCCAGCUAAGGUCCCAAAGUCAUGGUUAAGUGGGAAACGAUGUGGGAAGGCCCAGACAGCCAGGAUGUUGGCUUAGAAGCAGCCAUCAUUUAAAGAAAGCGUAAUAGCUCACUGGUCGAGUCGGCCUGCGCGGAAGAUGUAACGGGGCUAAACCAUGCACCGAAGCUGCGGCAGCGACGCUUAUGCGUUGUUGGGUAGGGGAGCGUUCUGUAAGCCUGCGAAGGUGUACUGUGAGGUAUGCUGGAGGUAUCAGAAGUGCGAAUGCUGACAUAAGUAACGAUAAAGCGGGUGAAAAGCCCGCUCGCCGGAAGACCAAGGGUUCCUGUCCAACGUUAAUCGGGGCAGGGUGAGUCGACCCCUAAGGCGAGGCCGAAAGGCGUAGUCGAUGGGAAACAGGUUAAUAUUCCUGUACUUGGUGUUACUGCGAAGGGGGACGGAGAAGGCUAUGUUGGCCGGGCGACGGUUGUCCCGGUUUAAGCGUGUAGGCUGGUUUUCCAGGCAAAUCCGGAAAAUCAAGGCUGAGGCGUGAUGACGAGGCACUACGGUGCUGAAGCAACAAAUGCCCUGCUUCCAGGAAAAGCCUCUAAGCAUCAGGUAACAUCAAAUCGUACCCCAAACCGACACAGGUGGUCAGGUAGAGAAUACCAAGGCGCUUGAGAGAACUCGGGUGAAGGAACUAGGCAAAAUGGUGCCGUAACUUCGGGAGAAGGCACGCUGAUAUGUAGGUGAAGCGACUUGCUCGUGGAGCUGAAAUCAGUCGAAGAUACCAGCUGGCUGCAACUGUUUAUUAAAAACACAGCACUGUGCAAACACGAAAGUGGACGUAUACGGUGUGACGCCUGCCCGGUGCCGGAAGGUUAAUUGAUGGGGUUAGCGGUAACGCGAAGCUCUUGAUCGAAGCCCCGGUAAACGGCGGCCGUAACUAUAACGGUCCUAAGGUAGCGAAAUUCCUUGUCGGGUAAGUUCCGACCUGCACGAAUGGCGUAAUGAUGGCCAGGCUGUCUCCACCCGAGACUCAGUGAAAUUGAACUCGCUGUGAAGAUGCAGUGUACCCGCGGCAAGACGGAAAGACCCCGUGAACCUUUACUAUAGCUUGACACUGAACAUUGAGCCUUGAUGUGUAGGAUAGGUGGGAGGCUUUGAAGUGUGGACGCCAGUCUGCAUGGAGCCGACCUUGAAAUACCACCCUUUAAUGUUUGAUGUUCUAACGUUGGCCCCUGAUCGGGGUUGCGGACAGUGUCUGGUGGGUAGUUUGACUGGGGCGGUCUCCUCCUAAAGAGUAACGGAGGAGCACGAAGGUUGGCUAAUCCUGGUCGGACAUCAGGAGGUUAGUGCAAUGGCAUAAGCCAGCUUGACUGCGAGCGUGACGGCGCGAGCAGGUGCGAAAGCAGGUCAUAGUGAUCCGGUGGUUCUGAAUGGAAGGGCCAUCGCUCAACGGAUAAAAGGUACUCCGGGGAUAACAGGCUGAUACCGCCCAAGAGUUCAUAUCGACGGCGGUGUUUGGCACCUCGAUGUCGGCUCAUCACAUCCUGGGGCUGAAGUAGGUCCCAAGGGUAUGGCUGUUCGCCAUUUAAAGUGGUACGCGAGCUGGGUUUAGAACGUCGUGAGACAGUUCGGUCCCUAUCUGCCGUGGGCGCUGGAGAACUGAGGGGGCUGCUCCUAGUACGAGAGGACCGGAGUGGACGCAUCACUGGUGUUCGGGUUGUCAUGCCAAUGGCACUGCCCGGUAGCUAAAUGCGGAAGAGAUAAGUGCUGAAAGCAUCUAAGCACGAAACUUGCCCCGAGAUGAGUUCUCCCUGACCCUUUAAGGGUCCUGAAGGAACGUUGAAGACGACGACGUUGAUAGGCCGGGUGUGUAAGCGCAGCGAUGCGUUGAGCUAACCGGUACUAAUGAACCGUGAGGCUUAACCUU
rnacentral:rRNA from 1 species